rnacentral:rRNA from 1 species
GACGAACGCUGGCGGCGUGCUUAACACAUGCAAGUGGUGCGACGAACCAGGCUUCGGCCUGGGGCGAAGCCGCGAACGGGUGAGUAACACGUGGGCACUCUGCCCCUUUGAUCGGGACAACCCGGGGAAACCCGGGCUAAUACCGAAUGCGGUGGCGGCUCAUGAGAGUCGUCACGAAAGGAAGCUUCGGCCUCCUCGCACGGAUUAGCCCGCGGCCCAUUAGCUUGUUGGUGGGGUAAUGGCCUACCAGGGCAACGAUGGGUAGCUGGUCUGAGAGGACGAUCAGCCACACUGGGACUGAGACACGGCCCAGACUCCUACGGGAGGCUGCAGUGGGGAAUCUUGCGCAAUGAGCGACAGCUUGACGCAGCAACGCCGCGUGAGGGAAGAAGGCUUUCGGGUCGUAAACCUCUUUCAGUUAGGACGAAGCUUUAUUGGUUAAUAACCAAUUGGAGUGACGGUACUUUCAGAAGAAGCCCCGGCUAACUACGUGCCAGCCGCCGCGGUAA